UGGGGAAUAUUGGACAAUGGGCGCAAGCCUGAUCCAGCCAUGCCGCGUGAGUGAUGACGGCCUUAGGGUUGUAAAGCUCUUUCGCACGCGACGAUAAUGACGGUAGCGUAAGAAGAAGCCCCGGCUAACUUCGUGCCAGCAGCCGCGGUAAUACGAAGGGGGCUAGCGUUGUUCGGAAUCACUGGGCGUAAAGGGUGCGUAGGCGGGCAAUUAAGUCAGGGGUGAAAUCCCGAGGCUCAACCUCGGAACUGCCCUUGAUACUGGUUGUCUUGAGUCCGGAAGAGGUGAGUGGAACUGCGAGUGUAGAGGUGAAAUUCGUAGAUAUUCGCAAGAACACCGGUGGCGAAGGCGGCUCACUGGUCCGGAACUGACGCUGAGGCACGACAGCGUGGGGAGCAAACA
rnacentral:rRNA from 1 species